UGGACAUUCCAGGAAGGUCCAUCCUGCCUAUCAUCACAUGUCCAGUGCAUAAGACUGUUCCUGACACAUACUAGACACUCCGUCAAUGUCUCUGGACUGAACAAAUGGUGAGAUUUGAUGCCAAAUGGAGUAGGAAAAAACUGCAACCCCAGCCGUCCCCAAAAGGGCGAACAUCUUAAAUCCAUAAGUCAUGCCAACUUUGAAGGUCUCGUCUCUCACAAAAUCAAGAGCCCAAAGAAUGCAAAGGCCCCGAGAGGAACUAAGUCUAACAGCUCCACCGAGAGAUGCACCGAGGGUUCCAGAAGCUGUCCUUCAGCUUGCUAGCUGCACAGGAAGUCGUGUGACCUGUGCUGUGCGCACAUUUCUCAUCGGUCUUUACAACACAGUAAACAUCAGCUGGCUUUGCUCAUCAGCGAGGUGUGGGGUAUGGAAGGGACAAGGGAAGAGAGGAAGGGAGACAAUGGAACAAAAGCUGAUCUCUCCUUUCUGAUAUUACUGUUGUAACAACACAGUGGCAAUUGAGCCAUCAAUUCCAAGCUUGAAAAGCUCUUCUUCUUUUCUCAACUUAAAAUCAAAGCUUAGGCUGGGUGUGGUAGCUCACUUCUGUAAUCCCAGCACUUUGGGAGGCCAAGGCAGACAGAUGGCGAGGUCAAGAGAUCGAGACCAUCCUGGCCAACAUGGUGAAACCCUGUCUCUAGUAAAAAUACAAAAAUUAGCUGGGUGUGGUGGCACGCACCUGAAGUCCCAAUCACUCGAGAGACUGAGGCAGGAGAAUCGUCUGAACCAGAGAGGCAGAGGUUGCAGUGAGCUGAGAUCACACCACUGCACUCCAGCCUGGCAACAGAGUGAGACUCUGUCUCAAAAAAAUAAAAAUAAAAUAAAUAAAAUCAAAGCUUGAAGUUCUUAUACCAUGGCACCAGCCAAGAUCUGUGCUGUCUUGUCACUGUGCCCAACUGAAAGGAUGACUUCUUUCCCGAAUCCCACCUGAUGAUGUUCUGAGAGGGUUUUGAAAAGGUGUCUACACCUCAGUGGACCUGUCUUACAAAUCGCACCUCUGUCGGGGGUACCCACACCCAUGUCACAUUAUCUGUGGCUCUGAAGUGCUGUGGAUGAGGGCCGCAAGUGAGCUAGACAUCUCAGAAGGCAAAGAGAGAGGCAUGUUGUUUUUAAUAUUCUCAGUGCCUGAGAGGAAGCUGGAAUCCAGCAGAGGCCUAAGUUGACAUGCUGGGUCUUCUGCAAGGCCAGCUGUUGGGGACCAGAUCCUCAAGUCCUGCUAUUUAGACAAGGCAAACGGAACACAUUUCCCCUGCCUUCCACAUUUGAAGCAAGAGUCUGGACUGAGCAUCAGGGUCACCUUGGUGCAUGUUCACGUCUUUCAUUCUUGAGAGGUGCUAACUCAGGAGAUCUCAGUGGGGCCCAGGCACAGCCAGGAGAGUUGACUCCAGAGCCAGAGCAGAACUGGACUUGGGAACCAAGAUCCAAGCAAUUUAUUGAGUCCUCAAAGAAACACUGAAUUUCAUUUCACUAAACUACACUUGUAGACCAAUGAGUUUUAGUGGGACCUUCAGCAGCAUGGAAUCAGACACAGAGUGUUUUGUUUUUUCGUUUUCUAGUCUUAUUUUUUGCUUUGUCUUAUUUUGUCUAGCUUUGUCUGUUUCACUUCGUUAGGCAGAAAAUUCAAGGAACAAGAUGAUUCCCUUUAGUUUCAUUUGGAUAAAUAAACAUUAAAUGAGCAACUACUGCUUGCUAGACUUAUGUUGCCUCUGUGGAUUGAGAUAUGAGUCAUUAAAUGUUUAUGUGGCAAGGACUAGAGAAGAUAAGUAUACAAGAAACAAUAGAACAGGGACAUUAGGUUCCCAAUCCAUACAGGAGAAACAGAAAAGCUACCUGGGGAGGUGACACUGACAUUGAAGUUGACUGAGUUUCUGCAGUUGUAUUUUUAACUGUAAGAACAUUGACGAUGCAGACGAACCCAGAUUUCAAGUGAAACAGAGCUAGGUUCAGACAACAGCUCUACCACCACUUACUGUUUGCAUCAGUCAGGGUAACCCAGAUGCUGUAACAAAUAGCCCUCAAUAGCUAACCUAAGGCAUGCUUAUUUCUUGCUCAUAACACAGUUCUAUG
ensembl:lncRNA